GCUGGGCAUGGUGGCUCAUGCCUGUAAUCCCAGCACUUUGGGAGGCAGAGGUGAGUGGAUCACUUGAGGUCAGGAGUUCGAGACUAGCCUGGCCAACAUGGUGAAACCUCGUCUCUA
rnacentral:SRP_RNA from 1 species